rnacentral:rRNA from 1 species
AUCUCCUACGGGACGCAGCAGUGGGGGAUAUUGCACAAUGGGGGAAACCCUGAUGCAGCGACGCCGCGUGAGUGAAGAAGUAUUUCGGUAUGUAAAGCUCUAUCAGCAGGGAAGAAAAAAGACGGUACCUGACUAAGAAGCCCCGGCUAACUACGUGCCAGCAGCCGCGGUAAUACGUAGGGGGCAAGCGUUAUCCGGAUUUACUGGGUGUAAAGGGAGCGUAGACGGCAAUACAAGUCGGAAGUGAAAUACUCGGGCGCAAC